rnacentral:lncRNA from 1 species
CUGGCUAUAAGAUGAUUACAUGAUCCUGGUCUCGUCACGGUGGCAACUCAGUAAUGUUCUCAAAUACGGUCGGAAAUUCCUUCAAAACCUCAGUGAUAAUCCUUGCCGGGUCCGAUGGUCCUUUACUGAAAUCAACUGUGAUGCUCCCUAAUUCCGGUAAAAGUCAUUCUCCAUGCUCUUUAAAUGCUUUCAUCAUGGAUUUCAAGGACACUGGGUUUUACAGAGGCUCGAGUCCCCCUGAAGAGUAACCGUAGUUCCUAAUGUAAUAAAUGUCAUGGUCAGUGUAUUUCACUCCAACUGCAUCUUCUCUAAUUUCUAUAACCACUACAUUCCCAAUAUGACAUCUAAACCACCCAACUCCAAAGGUACGAAGUCCUAUACCACCAGCAUACUUUACGACUACAGAAGGACUUGUUUACACGCAUAUUCAUCAUUUAUAGUAAGACUUGUACCCAUAAUUACUCCAUAGCCUGUAGUACCUAAUAAGGGUAGUCCUAAUUGCUGGAUGAUGUCUGCUACGAUGAAGUUGUGGGAUGUCCCGCUAUCGACCAACACUAUUACUUCCCAUUGGCUGAUCUUUCCUUUUAAUUUCAUAGUUCCCGAUGUUGUAAGACCCAUUACCGAGUUGAUAGACAACUCCAGUGUCUGGCCCAGCUCAUUUCCAUCCUCUUCGCUGGAACCUAUUGCUCCUUGACUAGUUGUUGCUCUGUCUUCCGACGCUUCCUCCAUUUCUCUAACCACUAACACUUGUAAUUCCUUGUUCC